rnacentral:rRNA from 1 species
UACGUAGGGUGCGAGCGUUGUCCGGAAUUAUUGGGCGUAAAGAGCUUGUAGGUGGUUUGUCGCGUCUGCUGUGAAAAUCCGGGGCUCAACCCCGGACUUGCAGUGGGUACGGGCAGACUAGAGUGUGGUAGGGGAGACUGGAAUUCCUGGUGUAGCGGUGGAAUGCGCAGAUAUCAGGAGGAACACCGAUGGCGAAGGCAGGUCUCUGGGCCGAUACUGACGCUGAGGAGCGAAAGCGUGGGGAGCGAACAGG